AACUCUUCUAUGGAACAGUGAUUGCAAGCUGAGUGCAACACAGGAUUUGCAGCUGCCUUUCUCCUUCUGACUGGUCUGUGGCCUGGGGUGCAAUCACAGCAGCAAGAAGUAGGAGUUGCAGUUCUGUUUCUGUGACUGAUUGCUUUAUUGUUUGUACGGCUGUUAUGUCCAUUCCUCUAUCAUCCCCACUUUCCACAGAAGGUGCUACUGGCUUCUUCAGAGCACCAUGCUGAGGAACAGGAGAGGACCAGGACUUGCUUCAGAGGUGGGAAUGGCAAAAAAUGAAGAAUUUCAUCUUAUUUGACUGGAGUUUUGAGCAGGGGCUCAGAGCCAAAUGUAUGGGAGAGCUUUACAUCGCU